GAUGAUUUGCGAUGCUGUCGUCCAUUUCGAGGCUGCUGUUUCGGUUGGGAGCUGGACUUCGUCGAGUGUUUUGUGCGGCAGUAACAUGGCAAGAAGCAUGAACCACAACAAUCACCCCAGGGUGGAGUUGCCUGAAUGGAAAGGUGGUUCUGAUGCAGUUUCCGCAGAAGAUGGGGGCUAAGGGAAUACAUGGCAAUGGGUUUGCUUCAGUCAUGAAUGUUGACUCCAGAUGGAUUGUCAUCCCCGAUGUAAUAAACAAGCUAUUGCUACUUGAGAAUGGAUUCUCCAGCUGUCUCUGCUCAUUUCACAGUGCUUUGGGUAUUUGGAGACUGCAGCGUAUGCUUGGGAGAUGGUGAUUCAGCAGUGACCAGUGCUCUGCUAAAUGAAGAAUGUGGUGGAUUUCUUGGCUGCUCGGUCACUGAGCAGUUGAACUGCACUGUUGCCUAUAUGUUGCACAAUUAAAGAUAGUGAAUAACA